rnacentral:rRNA from 1 species
CUACGUGCCAGCAGCCGCGGUAAUACGGAAGGUCCAGGCGUUAUCCGGAUUUAUUGGGUUUAAAGGGAGCGUAGGCUGGAGAUUAAGUGUGUUGUGAAAUGUAGACGCUCAACGUCUGAAUUGCAGCGCAUACUGGUUUCCUUGAGUACGCACAACGUUGGCGGAAUUCGUCGUGUAGCGGUGAAAUGCUUAGAUAUGACGAAGAACUCCGAUUGCGAAGGCAGCUGACGGGAGCGCAACUGACGCUGAAGCUCGAAGGUGCGGGUAUCGAACAGGAUUAGAUACCCUGGUAGUCCGCACAGUAAACGAUGGAUGCCCGCUGUUGGUACCUGGUAUCAGCGGCUAAGCGAAAGCAUUAAGCAUCCCACCUGGGAAGUACGCCGGCAACGGUGAAACUCAAAGGAAUUGACGGGGGCCCGCACAAGCGGUGGAGCAUGUGGUUUAAUUCGAAGCAACGCGAAGAACCUUACCAGGUCUUGACAUCCCUCUGACCGCUCUAGAGAUAGAGCUUUC